GACGGCAUGGCCAAGUGGUAAGGGGGGGGAUUGCAAAUCCUUUCUACCCAAUUCAAAUCCGGGUGUCGCCU
rfam:Amborella trichopoda AMTR_V1.0_contig_22221, whole genome shotgun sequence.